UACGUAGGGUGCGAGCGUUGUCCGGAAUUAUUGGGCGUAAAGAGCUCGUAGGCGGUGUGUCACGUCGGCCGUGAAAACCUGGGGCUUAACUCUGGGCGUGCGGUCGAUACGGGCAUCACUAGAGUUCGGCAGGGGAGAACGGAAUUCCUGGUGUAGCGGUGAAAUGCGUAGAGGAUCCGGAGGAACACCAGUGGCGAAGGCGACACGCUGGGCCGUACCUGACACUGAUGCGCGACAGCAUGGGGAGCAAACAGG
rnacentral:rRNA from 1 species